rnacentral:rRNA from 1 species
UACAGAGGGGGCAAGCGUUGUUCGGAAUUACUGGGCGUAAAGGGCGCGUAGGCGGCCUUCUAAGUCGAACGUGAAAUCCCCGGGCUCAACCCGGGAACUGCGUCCGAUACUGGAAGGCUUGAAUCCGGGAGAGGGAUGCGGAAUUCCAGGUGUAGCGGUGAAAUGCGUAGAUAUCUGGAGGAACACCAAUAGCGAAGGCAGCUCGCUGGGACGUGACUGACACUAAGGCGCGAAAGCGUGGGGAGCGAACAGG